GAUGAACGCUGGCGGCGUGCCUAAUACAUGCAAGUCGAGCGAACGGACGAGAAGCUUGCUUCUCUGAUGUUAGCGGCGGACGGGUGAGUAACACGUGGAUAACCUACCUAUAAGACUGGGAUAACUUCGGGAAACCGGAGCUAAUACCGGAUAAUAUUUUGAACCGCAUGGUUCAAAAGUGAAAGACGGUCUUGCUGUCACUUAUAGAUGGAUCCGCGCUGCAUUAGCUAGUUGGUAAGGUAACGGCUUACCAAGGCAACGAUGCAUAGCCGACCUGAGAGGGUGAUCGGCCACACUGGAACUGAGACACGGUCCAGACUCCUACGGGAGGCAACAGUAGGGAAUCUUCCGCAAUGGGCGAAAGCCUGACGGAGCAACGCCGCGUGAGUGAUGAAGGUCUUCGGAUCGUAAAACUCUGUUAUUAGGGAAGAACAUAUGUGCAAGUAACUGUGCACAUCUUGACGGUACCUAAUCAGAAAGCCACGGCUAACUACGUG
rnacentral:rRNA from 1 species